UGGCAACAAGACAUCCGGGCCCUUUCGUCCUCGCAGUGGAGCGAUUACUUCCGGUCUAGCUGGUCACCUAGGCAACGGGCCACUUGGUGGAGGCUUGUAGGAACCGAGGCGCCAUGGCGGAGGUGACAGCUCGGCCGACUGCAUCUCUGCCAGCAGCAGCAGAACUUCCCAGAGCCAGAUCAGGAAGAGUGCCUGACCUUCCCAUUCUGGAGAAGAGGAACUGGCUGAUCCACCUGUACUACGUGCGCAAAGAUUACGAUGCAUGUAAGAUUGCCAUAAAAGAGCAACUGCAGGAAACCCAAGGAAUGUGUGAAUAUGCUGUCUACGUUCAAGCUUUGAUCUUCCGCUUGGAAGGAAAAAUCCACGAAUCUCUGGAGCUUUUCCAGACUUGUGCUAUUCUCAGUCCUCGAUGUGCAGACAACCUCAAGCAGGUGGAGAUCUUCCAUAACUUGGGAGUCUGCUACAUGCAGCUGAAAUAUUUCAACAAGGCCAAAGAUCAACUGAACAACGCCUUGCAGCUCAACCGCCAUGACCUGACAUACAUGACUCUGGGGAGAAUCCACCUGAUGGAAGGGGACAGAGACGCAGCCCUUGAAAUCUAUAAAAAAGCAGUGGAAUUCUCUCCUGAAAACACAGAACUCCUUACAAUUCUGGGCUUGCUUUAUCUUGAGCUUGAGGUUUAUCAGAAAGCCUUUGAGUACCUUGGAAAUGCCCUCACUUUUGAUCCCUGCAACUAUAAGGCCAUUUUGGCAGCUGGCAGUAUGAUGCAAACCCAUGGGGACUUCGACAUGGCUCUCAGCAAGUACCGAAUCGUGGCUUGUACCGUUCCUGAGAGCCCCCUGCUCUGGAACAACAUCGGGAUGUGUUUUUUUGGCAAAAAGAAAUACGUGGCGGCCAUCAGCUGCUUGAAACGGGCGAACUACCUCGCACCCUUUGAUUGGAAGACCCUGUACAAUCUUGGACUGGUCCACCUGACAAUGCACCAAUAUGCUUCCGCCUUCCACUUCAUCAGCGCAGCGGUCCAUCUCCAGCCCAAGUUGGCAGAACUUUACAUGUUGUUAGCAGUUGCCUUGACAAAUCUUGAAGAUCUUGAAAAUGCGAGGCUAGCGUAUCAGAAAGCUUCAUCCCUGGACACGAGCAACCCACUCAUCAGUCUGAAUUAUGCAAUCCUGCUAUACAAUCAAGGAGAUAAGAAGGAGGCUGUGGCUCAAUACUACGAGAUGCAAAGAAAGGUUCAUGUGUUAAAAGAGAGCACCCUGGAUUUUGACCCCGAGAUGGUGGACAUAGCCCAGAGACUGGGCACUUCCUUACAGCUUGGAGAGGUUGCAAUCUGGGCUAAACCUGGUAGAGACUCAAAACCGAAGGCACGAGGGACUGCUGCACCCAGCACACAGCCAUUGGGUUCCAAUCAAGCUCUGGGGCAGGCAAUGUCUUCUGCGGCUGGCUACGCAAAGACCAUGAGUCAAGGUAGGUCUUCUGGCCCUCGUUGACUAAAGCAGAAUCCAUCCUGCCUUCUCGGUUCUUCUCAAGAACUCUCGAGAACUGGGAGCUGCUCAGUCAAGCUUGGUUUCAAUGGCUGCUGACUUGUCACAGUAAUGGUUGGCUGGCUGGUUUAACCCAGGGGUCUCCAAACUAGGCCAAGACAUGGGCACUUCUGGGGAAUUCUGGGAGUUGAAGUCUGCAGGACUUAAAGUUCCCAAGUUUGGAGACCCCUGGUUUAGUCACAUCUUUGUAUCUAGUGUUUCCCCUGCCUAGAUUAAAAGGAAGGGUGACCAUAACUAGAGAUAGGUAGAGCAUUGUAUCUUGAUUCUAUAGCCAUGUCUUCUCCUUCGUAUCAGAUAUUUAUUUAUUUAUUUAUUUUGAUUGGGAGCUGCCCAGAGUUGAUGGAAAAAUGGGCGGCUAUAUAAAUGUUUUAAAUAAAUAACUAUUUUAAACCA
ensembl:lncRNA